rnacentral:rRNA from 1 species
AGUAACGCGUGGAUAACCUGCCUCACACUGGGGGAUAACAGUUAGAAAUGACUGCUAAUACCGCAUAAGCGCACAGUACCGCAUGGUACGGUGUGAAAAACUCCGGUGGUAUGAGAUGGACCCGCGUCUGAUUAGCUAGUUGGUGAGGUAACGGCCCACCAAGGCAACGAUCAGUAGCCGACCUGAGAGGGUGACCGGCCACAUUGGGACUGAGACACGGCCCAG